UACGUAGGGGGCAAGCGUUGUCCGGAUUUAUUGGGCGUAAAGAGCGUGUAGGCGGCCGGGUAGGUCCGGUGUGAAAACUCGAGGCUUAACCUCGAGAUGUCAUCGGAAACUAUUCGGCUAGAGUCCGGAAGAGGAGAGUGGAAUUCCUGGUGUAGCGGUGAAAUGCGCAGAUAUCAGGAAGAACACCGAUGGCGAAAGCAGCUCUCUGGGACGGUACUGACGCUGAGACGCGAAAGCGUGGGGAGCGAACAGG
rnacentral:rRNA from 1 species